GAGUGCAGUGGUGUUUGCAACUAAUUGAUCACAACCAGUUACAGAUUCCUUUGUUCCUUCUCCACUCCCACUGCUUCACUU
rnacentral:sRNA from 1 species